UACUCAGUUGUAAACCAAGAGGGUUUAACUAUAUCACCCUCUGCCCGAGAAUUACAAGUGAAAAACUUGAAACUCUAAGGACUUGACGGUGCCCCACACCAACCUAGAGGAGCCUGUCCUAUAAUCGAUACUCCACGCUAUACCCCACCCCCCCUCGCCCCACAGCCUAUAUACCGCCGUCGCCAGCCCACCUACUGAUAGCACCAAUAGUCGGCACAACUGCACCCCGCGCAAGCACGUCAGGUCAAGGUGUAGCUUAUGGGGGGGACUGAGAUGGGCUACAUUUGCUGCCCAACAACAAAUAACCAAGGCCAUAUGAAACCGUCGGCUAACAGGCGGAUUUAGCAGUAAACAGGGCAAGGUCUGCCCACUUGAAUCUCGCUC
rnacentral:rRNA from 1 species